UGCCAUUGCUCCAGCCCCCUUCUGUCCUGUUUUGAAGUAUGCAAAUGUGAUCUGCCUGGGUAUGGCUGGGCAGAAGGGAACAUUUUGUUCCAUAAGGUAUCAUGAGGAAU
rnacentral:snoRNA from 1 species